CUUUUAUUACUUCGGUUCUUCUAUUUUGCAGAUGCUUUCGCUUAAAGAUUUGCAGAGAUCAAUGAGGAUUCGGGUGGCGGGGAAGGGGCUGGUGAUAGGAAAUAUGGGUCCAAGAAGAAAUUAAAGAGCAUGGUGAGUUGUUCCCCCUUUUCAAAUUUAAAACCUAGACUAGAGUCUUCUAGUUUAGUAAUUUGAUUAGGAUAGCAUAAUAUUUUGCUACUACCUUGCUAAUAGCUUCGCGAGGUAAUUCAGUCAGCUAUAUAUGUGUUUUUUUUACUGUAGUGAGAUCACUUAUUUUAAUUUAGAGAAAAUAGAAACAUGAAUUGUGGUUAUAAGAAUCUAAUAGUAGAUGUUCUUAGCAUGAACAGGCUCCGUAAUGUACCUACUGACUAAUAGCACAACAGAAUCCUUCUUGCGAAGCGUCCGUCAAUCAAGACUUGGCAUGCCCGGUUUUACUUUACAAAGAGUAGUAUGUGGUGCUCUAAUAUUCAAUCGUGUUCUUGAAUUGGGAAUUAUGUUUUCAAUAGUUAACGUGUUUGUGUGUUGGGCUGAUGUAUAUAAGUGAAAGAAAAUUAAAAACGGAUGGAGGAAGGGAACUUCUUGCUUUUUUCUUCCGUUUUUUUUCUCUGUUUGAUCAGUACUCCCUACGAUGAGAAGGUUUGAGAAUAGAAACAUCCUACUCUUUGAUCCCUUUCAGUGUGAACGGCUCGAAGGCAAGCUCGGCUGUUUGCUCCUCGCUCUAUUGGUUGUGUCUCUGGCUUCCCCCUGCACAGUGCCACAUGCGUGUUUGUGGCUUGCGUGCUGCUGCUGCUUGUAUGGUGUGUUGGCUUGAUGCGUGUGUGUGGGUGCGCUAGCUAGGCGAGGAUCACUGGCUCACUGCUCUCUCUGUAGCUUCUUAGGAAAAAAAAACUUUGCCUCUGGUCUGCAUCAUGCUUGUAGAAUCUUUUCAGGCAGGUAGUGGUAGGAACAACUAGGGUUCUACCGGGUCUAGAGCGGAGGUUGUAGGGAAUGAAGCGGGGUUGGCGUGGGCUGGAGCGCGGCGGCCGGCGGCGGGGCGCCGUUGUGCGCGAGAGGGAAGCAGCGGCGGUGGUAGGCGGCGCAGUUAGGGUUCCGACUCCUCUGGGAGCCGGGCAAUAGAGUUAUGACUAUAUUGCUUAAUUCCAAAAGAGCUGUUUACAUCGGUUUAUGUAAUCUCACGGCUGACUAAGAUAACUUGGAAACUAAGAUAACUUGGGCUAAGCCCGUAACUAACCCUGCCCAUUGGGCCUCCUCCUUUGGUACGUAGUACCGGUCAUAACAUCUCUCCCCGCCUGCCCAAACAGCUCGUCCUCGAGCUGGAAGUCUGGAUAGUGCUGGCUGAAUUUGUCACGCGGCUCCCAAGUCGCGUCCUCCUCUGGAAGGCCUUCCCAUUGGAUCAACAGGUAUCACACCCCGCGACGUAGUUGGGCCCGCAACACCUUUGCUGGCCCGGGAAGGAGGCGCCCAUCGGAGGUCGGGGGUAGCGCCGGCGUGGCCGCCGGUGGCUCCCCACGGAAAGGCUUCAGGAGCCCCACAUGGAAGACGUCGUGGAUGCGAGCACCGGCCGAAAGCUGAAGGCGGUCAAGGGACUGCGUAGAACGGUGAAGGAGACGCAGCCACACCCAAUCGCCCACCGCGAACUCUGCCUCGCGGUGGUGGCCGUCAUAGUAGUGCUUGGCCAACUACUGGGCCUGAACGAGGCGUUGGCGCACCUCGGCAAGCAUCUCAUCGCGGCUGCGAAAAAGAUCACCCGCCGCCUCCGUCCUAGCCGUCUCUGGGUCAACCGGCAGGAUGGGCGGGGCCGGUCGGCCAUAGACCACCUCGAACGGCGUGGCGCGCGGGGCGGAGUGAUAAGAGGUGUUGUAGUAGUACUCCGCCCGCGCAAGCUAGCCCACCCAAGCACGAGGACGAUCACCUGUAACACAACGCAAAUACAUGGCAAUCACCUUGUUGACCACCUCGGAUUCGUCGUCCGUCUGAGGAUGGAAUGCCGUGCUCAAGCGGACCUUCACGCCUGCCAUCCUGAAGAGAUCGCGCUAGACAUGCCCCGUGAACACCGGGUCCCGGUCGAUGCCGAUCGAAGAGGGAAACCCGUGUAGGCGAACGAUGCCGUCGAAGAAGGCCCGAGCCACGGAGGUGGCGGUGUAAGGAUGGCCAAGCGCGAUGAAGUGGGCGUACUUGGAGAAGCGAUCGACCACUGUGAGGAUGACGGACUUGCCGCCCACCUUGGGGAGGCCCUCGACGAAGUCCAUGGAGAUAUCGGUCCAAACCUGAGAGGGCACCUCCAAGGGCUGCUGUUGUAGCAGCCCUGCCGGCCGCCGUGUCUCCGUCUUAUUAUGAUGGCACGUCAUACAAGACCGCACCCAGUCCCAAACCAGGGCCGGGUCGCCGGGGAUGUAGAAGUCGGCACGGAGAUGGUGGAGGGUCUUCUCCACACCCUCGUGGCCCGCCGAGUGGGCCAGUAGCAGCACCUGAUGACGGAGGUCGCCGUGAUCCGGCACGAAGAGGCGUCGCCCAUGCAGGAGCAGGCCCUCCGCCAAACGCCACGGCUCCUCCAGGUCGUCGGCAUCAAGGCGCUGCCGAAGUAACUGCGUGUCGGGCGCGUCCGUGGUGGCCCGACGGAUGUCGUCGAAGAGGGCAAACGAGGGCCCGGAGCGGAUGCAGAGGGCUGCCCCGUCGGAGUCGUCCGCGCCAGCGUCGUGGUCGUCGUGGAGGGACAGGGCGUCGGCCACGGUGUUAAGGCGGCCCGGACGAUACUUGAUGGUGAAAUCGAAGCCAAAGAGCUUGCUGAUCCAAUGGUGCUGCGGCACGGUAGACAACCUCUGGUCCAAUAAGAACUUGAGGCUGUAGUGAUCCAUCCGGAACGACCGUCCCCAAAGAUAUGGCCGCCAGUGGUGCACGGCCUGCACCAAACCAAUGAGCUCCCUCCCAUAGGCCGCGAGCUUGUGAUGGCGUGCGGCGAAAGGCGUGCUGAAGAACGCGAGGGGCCCGUCGCCCUGAUGAAGGACGGUGUCGAACCCCACGCCGGAGGCGUCGCAGUCGACCAUGAACGGCCAGUCGAAGUCGGGCAUCUGAAGGACGGGACCCGUUGUGAGGGCCCGUUUGAGGGCCUCGAACGCCUCCGUGGCCUCCGCAUCCCAGGCGUCGCUUCGGAGCAGGCGCUUGAGCGGGGACGCAAUGAGGCCGAAUUCCUGGAUAAAUUUCCGGUAGUAGCCUGCGAGGCGCAGGACUCCGCGGAGAGCCCGCGGGGAGUGCGGCGUCGGCCAGGCUGCAACGGCCGCCACCUUGUCGGCGUCCAUAGCAACACCCUUGGCUGAGAUGACGUGGCCGAGAUAGGCGACUGAAGGCGUCCCGAACGAGCACUUAGAGCGCUUAAGAUGAAGACGGUGCGCUCGAAGCUCGUUGAAGACGAUGGCGACGUGCUGAAGAUGUUCCGCCCAUGUUGUGCUGUAGAUAAGAAUGUCAUCAAAGAAAAGGAGUACAAACCGAUGCAAGUAGGGCCGGAGGACGUCGUUCAUGAAGGCCUGAAAAGUUGCCGGGGCGUUGGAGAGGCCAAAAGGCGUCACCAAGAACUCAAAGUGGCCGUGAUGAGUCCGAAACGCCGUCUUCGCGACAUCGUCCGGGUGCAUCCGCACUUGGUGAUAGCCCGAACGGAGGUCGAGCUUGGUGAAGAAGCACGCCCCAUGUAGUUCGUCCAUGAGCUUGUCGACGGCCGGAAUGGGAAAUUUGUCUUUGAGCGUCAAGGGCGCAGUAGUCGAUGCAGAAGCGCCAUGAGCCGACCGACUUGCGGACUAGGAGGACCGGCGCCGAAAACGGUGAAGUGGAGAUCCGGAUGAUGCCCAGGGCUAGCAUGAGCGCGCAUUGCCGCUCCAGCUCGUCCUUCUGCAGCUGGGGGUAACGGUAGGGACGCACCGCCACCGGCGCCGUGCCUGGCAGGAGAUGGAUGCGGUGGUCAUACACCUGGGCCGGCGACAGACCUUGAGGCUCGUCGAAGAGGUCGCUGUGCUGCUGCAGGAGAUGAUCCAACAGAGGGUGCGUGGACUCGGCAGCAGUCGCGGCCAGCUGCGGCUGUGGCGUCGCUGGUGGGGCGCCACCCACGCCCUCCCAUCGUACGCGGCGACCCAGGCGCCAGAAGGUCAUCGUCAGGGCGUCGAAGUCCCAGAGAAUGGGACCCAGGGUCCGCAAGAGGUCGACGCCGAGGAUGAAGUCGAAGCAGCCCAAGUCGAUGCCGGCACAUGUGAUCGUGAAGUGUUCGUCGCCGAUGGUGAUGGGAACGUCCCGUGCAAGCCCAUGACAUCGGAGAUGGUCGCCGUAAGCCACGGUGACCUGCAGCUGCUCCCCGCCUGUCGGCUGAAGUGCCAAGCGGCGCAUGGUCGACUCGGGCAGGAAGUUAUGUGUGGAGCCCGUAUCCAGAAGGACCAGGAGCAUAGUCCUCUCUGCUCGUAUACCCGCGAGGGCAUGGAGGGAGACCACAAGAGCUGUCGCCGGUGCCGGUGUGACCUCCGCAGCAGCUGGUGCGGCCAAGUCGCCGAGCUCGUCGGCGGGCGUUUCCUCCUCGACGUAGGGGCCCGCGGAGCUUGAGGGACCCCCGUACUGUACAGUGGUCGCCGACUGCUCCGACGCCAUCGUGUAAACCGGCGGCGGAACGAACCCGGCCAACCAGGCCGGAAGUGGGGACAGGAACCGGACCUGCUGGAUCGGGACGCCUGCUGGUGUUGUGGAAGGCGGCCCGAAGCUGAACUGCGGCGGCCCCGGCAGCUGCAGCGGCUGCUGGAAGGGGGAGGCCGACGCAGCCGACGCCCCAAGCGCCUGGGUCGGCCAGGGNNNNNNNNNNNNNNNNNNNNNNNNNNNNNNNNNNNNNNNNNNNNNNNNNNNGGCCUGCAACGGGGCGGUGAUGACGAUCUGGAAGGUGGUGGCGGGCGGGAUGGUGGUGACGGUCGGCGAGGAUGACAUGAUCGGCCUGGAGUCUCUAGAUACUAAAUUGGUAGGAACAACUAGGGUUCUACCGAGUCUAGGUCGGAGGUUGUAGGGAAUGAAGCGGGGUUGGCGUGGGCUGGAGCGCGGCGGCGGGGCGCAGUUGCGCGCGAGAGGGAAGCGGCGGCAGUGGUAGGCGGCGGCGCAACUAGGGUUCCGGCUCCUCUGGGAGCCGGGCAAUAGAGUUAUGACUAUAUUGCUUAAUUCCAAAAGGGCUGUUUACAUCGCUUUAUAUAAUCUCACGGCUGACUAAGAUAACUUGAAAACUAAAAUAACUUGGGCUAAACCCGUAACUAAUCCUGCCGAUUGGGCCUCCUCCUUUGGUACGUAGUACCGGUCAUAACAGGUAGAUGUUUCCAAGAUCAAGAGAGAAAAGGUCCUUGCAUGUAUACACUUUUAGAUGACACAUGACCAGAAGUCUUUCCUAUGAAAAUCCAUCCGACGCUCAACUUUAGUGACUGGUGUAGCGAUCCAGGAUUUUAUCCUAAACUGCUAUUAAACUCACAAGGAGGAACAAUUUAAUAACAACAGAAGUCUAGCCAUGCUUUUUGAUAUACUGUGUAUAUGUAUGUUGUACUAGCAGUUCCUAUUUUUUGAAUAUUGCGUACCAGAAAAUUGAAUUGGGAAGGCAUGCAUAAAUAUGAGGUGUUAAAUUAUGUUUUGAGAGGGAUUUUUUCAUUUCCAAAACCAAGGAAGUUGGAUGAGCUUAAAGCACCUAUUCACCAGCUAACUGAACUUUUCUAAUUGUAUUUUAAAUCCACAACAGGGCAAAAUCAUUGCUCAUUCCCAGAUCAUCUAAAUCAGAUAGACGGGCCCCAAACACAGUGCCAUUUGUCGUUUGUGUGUUUGAUUUUUAGUUGAGUGCCUUUGGAUCGAUGGUACUAUGGAGAGGUGACAUUAGCACGAUUGAUGAUUGCUUAUCUCCUGUCGACAACAUCUCAUUCCUCUGUAUGUCAAUAUAUCAACAAAACAAGAGAUCUAUAAUAUCAGUCUUUAUGGAGUUCACAGAUUAUUGAAGAUUUUUGCUGCCAUGGAAUUGUGAGUUUGUGACUAUACAUUCUUGUGUCCUACAUGUGAAUUGAAGAUAUAUUAUCUAUGUAUGUGAAUAUAAAUAUCUAGGUAUGUAAGCAAGUCCUAACUUUUAUUUACAUAUUCAUCUAUGAAAUGCAUGCAAGCAAAUCAUAUCUUACAGAUAAUUGCUCCCUUAUAGGUGAACCUGAUGAUUCAUAAAUUAACCGGUUGGAGAUCGGUAGACAGUCAAGUGUAUUGAUAACUGGAGUUUAGAUCUCAAAAUCCUUCUAACGUUUCUACUGACUAUGUUUUCUUGACAGCUUUGAGAGAAGAAAAAGUACUGUUGGUCAUUCUCUCGCAUGUAUAGUAGUACAAUACUGGAUAUGCGAAUGGAUAAUGUUCAUUUAGUAGUCUGUUAGUAGAUGAUGAUUUCUUUUCUUCGUAGUCAAUUGGUGUGUAUAUCCUGAUAUGUUCAGUCUAUUCCCAAAUUAAUUUGUAAAGUAGCCUUAACAAUUAUACAGUCUCUCUGAGUCUCUGUGUAUCAGUACUCUGUUUUCUGGACAGCUGGAAGAAAUCAGUUUGUCAUAACAUGUGAAAAUGAGUUUAUUUACCUGCACUUUUGCUUUUAUGAGUUAGCAAAGAUGUUUGUCAAAUAGUUAGGCAUCACAGUGAAGCUUGGCAAAGGGACUUCUGGUGAGGCCUAUAACAAGGCUGGAAACACUGUAUGUAAGGUGGUGCUCUCUGAUGGAUAUUCAUUUGUCAACUAAUACAUGACCAUAUACUAGAGAAGUACACGCCGCGCACACACAAGGACCCUAACAGGUUCUAAAUAUGUGCGUGGAUGAUCUUUAAAUACCUGGAUGAUUAUUCCGCAUAAACAAAGUCACAUUGUCAUUUUUAACACAGGAACAAAGCAGUGCCCCAUAACACAAAAGCUCUGUUCGUGUUGAGUAGCAAAUUCAUUCAUUAGUUAUGGGGGCAUCAAGAAGGGCAAAAACCAACGCGCUGAGACAUACCUGUUCCAUAUAACCAUGCGGAAAGUAGUAAAUCCUUUCACCUUGGUGAGACAUUAUGAUCAACGGCCUAGCUCAGGCACACCAUAGCUCCUUGUAUAAUGCGUCGCUAGAACAUCCUGCACAAAGGAUUCAUUAUGUGAACUAGGCAUACAAUUCAAGGGACCUUUCAGCUUACUUUGUAGCGGCAAAUUAUAACAGUUGAUCAUGAGUUAAUUUAACCAGUAUUACUAAACUGGUACUGCAUGCAGGUAUACACCACUUGCCUGACAUGGUAGCACCAAUUUACAAUAUAACCAUUAAGAUUUUAUUUCUGAAAAUAUAGGAGCCACACCACCCUGUUCCAUUUCAUCAAUGAAACAAGACUUUUACAACAUGUAAGAG
rnacentral:lncRNA from 1 species